CGUAUAAUAUUUGUUUAAUUUUGGUUUUUAAUUUAGUGUCUAUAAAUAAGAGAUGUACAAAAAAUUUGUAAAAAGAAGAAAAAAAUAAUAAUUUUACCAAGAAUAUUUUCUUGAUAUUAGAGCCUCUGAAUUCCAAAUAGAGUACAGAUAUUUCAAUACCUUAAAAUAAUUUUGCUCCGACCAGUGAAUUUUACUAUAGAAAAACUUUACAUAGGAACGUUUGAUGCACUUCCCGACCUGGGUAGAUCUUAAAGGGGAAGAUGCUGUGCCCGAGACUGUCCACCAUGUUGUCGUAAACAUUGAUCUCCGAACGGAUAGUAGCUGGAGCAAUCUUCGUCGCCAUCUAAAAUAAAUAAAUAAAUAAAUAUGUUUAUUCAGAGACAUUAAGUGAGGCGGUGAAGCUGCUGAAAAGAGAGUACUGUACUGCAUUUGAGGCUAUUAACACACACAAAAUGGAUCAAGCACUAAUAUUCUGCCGCACUAAGUUGGAUUGUGACAAUUUAGAGCGCUAUUUUAAUCAGAUCGGAGGAGGGGCCAAUAACAGAGGCAAUCCAUAUUCGUGUGUGUCUCUCCAUGGUGACCGCAAGUCUAAUGAACGCAAAGCGAAUCUCCAAAAAUUUAAGGAUGGUGGAGUGAAGUUCCUUAUAUGCACUGAUGUAGCUGCUCGAGGAAUUGAUGUUGGAGGCCUGCCGUUUAUAGUCAGUGUGACACUGCCAGAUGAGAAGAGCAACUAUGUUCAUCGUAUUGGGCGUGUGGGUAGAGCAGAGGUCUAGCUAUCUCCCUUGUUGCUGCUGUGCCAGAGAAGGUGUGGUACCAUGGAGAGUGGUGUUCAACUCGUGGGCGUAACUGUUUUAACACGCGGUUGACAACGGAAGAUGGUUGUUGCAUUUGGUACAACGAAUCACAGUACCUAGCUGAUAUUGAAGAGCACUUGGGAGUGACCAUCCAGCAGGUCGAUCAAGAAAUGAAAUUUCCAGUUGAUGAAUUUGAUGGCAAAGUGAUUUAUGGUGAAAAGAGAGCCAAUGUUGACGAUUACAAACAGGCCAAAUGGGACCGCCGCAUAGUGGAGAACAUUGCCACAGCAUUGCUGGAGGCAGCUUCUGGGAAGGACAAAGUGCGUCUCCUAAGUGCUUUUACAAUUCGAUUUUGAAGAAGACAUCUCCCAAUCAAUUUGGCGAGAAUUUUCUGACCAGUUGUGAACGCAAGUUAGCACACAAGUAUACGAGCGCCCAAAAUCUUUUACACAAACGACAUGUACAGACAGGCGUAUGGCUUAUGACUGCAUUUUUAUUGAUUAAUAUUACAUAUUAGGCGCUUAACUUUAUUAUUUAUUAUUAUUUACAAGUAUAACUAUCACAUAAU